rnacentral:tRNA from 1 species
CCCGCCCGUCACACCAUGGGAGUUGGUUUUACCUGAAGACGGUGCGCUAACCCGCAAGGGAGGCAGCCGGCCACGGUAGGGUCAGCGACUGGGGUGAAGUCGUAACAAGGUAGCCGUAGGGGAACCUGCGGCUGGAUCACCUCCUUUCUAAGGAUGAUCCUUCAGCGAGCUCACGCUCACUAUCGGAUCGUUUUAGAAACAUCAGUGGCCAACAGAUCGCCAGAUCGUUGAGCUGCAUUGGCGGGAUUUCGCCGUCUUCGUUUCUCUUUCUUCGCGGACGAACACGCGCUGGGCCUGCAUCAUGCAGGAUCCCACGGUCCCUGACGGGAUAUGCGUUAGGGGCUUGUAGCUCAGUUGGUUAGAGCGCGCGCUUGAUAAGCGUGAGGUCGGAAGUUCAAGUCUUCCCAGGCCCACCACUUUCAUCGAGUGAGCAUUCGUCUUCUGGUUACGGGGCCAUAGCUCAGCUGGGAGAGCGCGUGCUUUGCAAGCAUGAGGUCGUCGGUUCGAUCCCGUCUGGCUCCACCAGAUGGUUUGAUCACCGAGAUCUUGCACCGUCGUCCGCGAAACAUCACUUCGCAUCCUGCUAGUCUGGAUAGACAGCAAGAUGCGUGUUUUCUGACAUCGUAAAGAGGAGAUCGAUCCGAGUUGGGUCGUGCAGCAGAUUGUUGCGCGAACCUUCAUUAUCUCCGGAUCAUUUUCGGCGCUCGCUUUCAGCCGUGAGGUUGAAUGCGAGUUGUAAAAUGAUCCUUUUAGCGAAGCUUGACCGCCUCGCUAUCGGAACGAUCUUACGAAGCAGCUGGUCUUUCUAGUCAAUGUCCGGCUGCACGUAGCAUUCAUCGAGGGUGCGCGCCGUAAGGCAAUCGUGCAGACAACAUUCUGCCGAGUGUGUGGACAUUGAUAAUGAGAGCAAUCAAGUGCCUUAAGGUGUUCGGUGGAUGCCUUGGCGCUGACACACCGCCCGUCACACCAUGGGAGUUGGCUUUACCUGAAGACGGUGCGCUAACCAGCAAUGGAGGCAGCCGGCCACGGUAGGGUCAGCGACUGGGGUGAAGUCGUAACAAGGUAGCCGUAGGGGAACCUGCGGCUGGAUCACCUCCUUUCUAAGGAUGGUUCUUCAGAAGCUUGCUUCUAUCGAACCGUUUUAGAAACAUCAGUGGCCAACAGAUCGCCAGAUCGUUGAGCUGCAUUGGCGGGAUUUCGCCGUCUACGUUUCUCUUUCUUCGCGGACGAACACGCGCCGGGGCUGCGCUGUGCGAUUGCAUCUGCGCUUGUCGCGGUUGCUUGCACGCAAGACCCUAGUCCUGAUGAGGAUAGCGUUAGGGGCUUGUAGCUCAGUUGGUUAGAGCGCGCGCUUGAUAAGCGUGAGGUCGGAAGUUCAAGUCUUCCCAGGCCCACCACUUUCAUCGAGCGGGCAUUCGUCUUCUGGUUACGGGGCCAUAGCUCAGCUGGGAGAGCGCGUGCUUUGCAAGCAUGAGGUCGUCGGUUCGAUCCCGUCUGGCUCCACCAGAUGGCUUGAUCACCGAGAUCUUGUACCGUCGUCCGCGAAACAUCACUUCGCAUUCACUAGUCUGGAUAGACAGUGAACUGCGUGUUUUCUGACAUCGUAAAGAGGAGAUCGAUCCGAGUUGGGUCGUGCAGCAUAUCGUUGCGCGGGCCUUCAUUAUCUCCGGAUCAUUUUCGGCGCUCGACGCUGACCGCAAGGUUGGCUGCGAGUUGUAAAAUGAUCCUUUUAGCGAAGCUUGACCGCCUCGCUAUCGGAACGAUCUUACGAAGCAAGCUGGUCUUUCUAGUCAAUGUCCGGCUGUACGUAGCAUUCAUCGAGGGUGCGCGCCGCAAGGCAAUCGUACAGACAACAUU